rnacentral:misc_RNA from 1 species
GAUGAAGAACGUAUCGAAAUGCGAUACGUAAUGUGAAUUGCAGAAUUCAGUGAAUCAUCGAGUCUUUGAACGCACAUUGCGCCCCCUGGUAUUCCGGGGGGCAUGCCUGUCCGAGCGUCAUUGCUGCCCUCAAGCACGGCUUGUGUGUUGGGCCCCCGCCCCCCGGUUCCCGGGGGGCGGGCCCGAAAGGCAGCGGCGGCACCGCGUCCGGUCCUCGAGCGUAUGGGGCUUCGUCACCCGCUCUUGUAGGCCCGGCCGGCGCUUGCCGACACAUCAAUCUUUUUUCCAGGUUGACCUCGGAUCAGGUAGGGAUACCCGCUGAACUUAAGCAUAUCAAUAAGCGGAGGA